rnacentral:rRNA from 1 species
AGUGAACGCUGGCGGUAGGCCUAACACAUGCAAGUCGAACGGCAGCACAGUAAGAGCUUGCUCUUACGGGUGGCGAGUGGCGGACGGGUGAGGAAUACAUCGGAAUCUACUUUUUCGUGGGGGAUAACGUAGGGAAACUUACGCUAAUACCGCAUACGACCUACGGGUGAAAGCAGGGGAUCUUCGGACCUUGCGCGAUUGAAUGAGCCGAUGUCGGAUUAGCUAGUUGGCGGGGUAAAGGCCCACCAAGGCGACGAUCCGUAGCUGGUCUGAGAGGAUGAUCAGCCACACUGGAACUGAGACACGGUCCAGCCUCCUACGGGAGGCAGCAGUGGGGAAUAUUGGACAAAGGGCGCAAGCCUGAUCCAGCCAUACCGCGUGGGUGAAGAAGGCCUUCGGGUUGUAAAGCCCUUUUGUUGGGAAAGAAAAGCAGCAGGUUAAUACCCCGCUGUUCUGACGGUACCCAAAGAAUAAGCACCGGCUAACUUCGUG